rnacentral:lncRNA from 1 species
CCUCGUCCCAUUCUGCCACACCGCACCAUCUCUUGCUGCUCGUAGACGCCGCUGUUGCCAUUGGAUCUCGCCAGAGCCGGAGCUUUCCAUCGACGUUUCGAACACCGGUGAACCUCCUAGCCUCCUUUUUCCUACCAGAAUCGGAUCCCCUAGUCCCUCCGCUUCUUGCUGACAUCUUCUUUGCCCCUAGGACGCACCGGAGCAGCCACCCCGACGACUUGCAUCGUCGGAGUUCGCCGGAGGACAGGUGUUCCGCCCGCUGCCUUCGCCCGUCGCCGCCGACCGCCGUCACCACCGUUCGGCCGCCCUCGACGAGCCACACCCGCCCGACCACCUCGCCCGCACCGGAGCCCGCCGGAGCUGUCGCCCCUGCCAUCGCCGAGUUCCUGCCAACGAGUUCUCGUCUUUCUAAGAGCGCGCCUCUCUACGUUAGCAGUUUAGGUUUUUUUUAUUAUUUAGAACCAACCGUUAUGUUAGAUUUAGAUGGUUUUUUUAGUCGAACCGGUACGUGGAUUAAUCACGGUUUUAUUUUAAAACGACAGAAAAGUAUUUUUAUGGAUCUCUCGCGCAGUUUUGGAAUUUUUGAGAAAUUUAUAGGCGGAAGAGGUAGG